rnacentral:misc_RNA from 1 species
GAUGAAGAACGCAGCGAAAUGCGAUAAGUAAUGUGAAUUGCAGAAUUCAGUGAAUCAUCGAAUCUUUGAACGCACAUUGCGCCCGCCAGUAUUCUGGCGGGCAUGCCUGUUCGAGCGUCAUUACAACCCUCAGGCCCCCGGGCCUGGCGUUGGGGAUCGGCGGAAGCCCCCUGCGGGCACAACGCUGUCCCCCAAAUACAGUGGCGGUCCCGCCGCAGCUUCCAUUGCGUAGUAGCUAACACCUCGCAACUGGAGAGCGGCGCGGCCACGCCGUAAAACACCCAACUUCUGAAUGUUGACCUCGAACCAGGUAGGAAUACCCGCUGAACUUAAGCAUAUCAAUAAGCGGAGGA